GCCGGGUGUGGUGGUGGGCACCUGAAGUCCCAGCUACUGGGGAGGCUGAGGCAGGAGAAUCACUUGAACCCAGGAGGCAGAGGUUGCAGUGCAGUGAGCCAAGAUGUCACCACUGCACCCCAGCCUGGGUGACAGAGUGAGACCCUGUCUCAA
rnacentral:SRP_RNA from 1 species